GACGAACGCUGGCGGCGUGCCUAAUACAUGCAAGUUGAGCGCUGAAGGUUGGUACUUGUACCAACUGGAUGAGCAGCCAACGGGUGAGUAACGCGUGGGGAAUCUGCCUUUGAGCGGGGGACAACAUUUGGAAACGAAUGCUAAUACCGCAUAAAAACUUUAAACACAAGUUUUAAGUUUGAAAGAUGCAAUUGCAUCACUCAAAGAUGAUCCCGCGUUGUAUUAGCUAGUUGGUGAGGUAAAGGCUCACCAAGGCGAUGAUACAUAGCCGACCUGAGAGGGUGAUCGGCCACAUUGGGACUGAGACACGGCCCAAACUCCUACGGGAGGCAGCAGUAGGGAAUCUUCGGCAAUGGACGAAAGUCUGACCGAGCAACGCCGCGUGAGUGAAGAAGGUUUUCGGAUCGUAAAACUCUGUUGGUAGAGAAGAACGUUGGUGAGAGUGGAAAGCUCAUCAAGUGACGGUAACUACCCAGAAAGGGACGGCUAACUACGUG
rnacentral:rRNA from 1 species